GCGCGCGUAGCUCAGUGGUAGAGCGCUUCGUUGACAUCGAAGAGGUCCUUGGUUCAAA
rnacentral:tRNA from 1 species